AGUCGGAUAGCCUCCAUCUUCGGUUGUCUCUCCCUUUGAGGAGUAUUUUAUUGAAGUCCUCUAAUUUGUUUUUUUAUAACAUCUUCUUCGCAGGUUUUAAGUAUAGCAUGAAUUAGCUUUAUUUUCGCAAAUAAGAUAUUGUGAGAGCUUCUUCUUUGUAGGUUUUUGGCAAAAAAAGAUAUAUCGAGUCUGCUAAUUCAGGUAUAUCUAUUAAUUCUCUAAAGUUGCAUAGCAAUAUUACUUGUUCUCUCAUGUUACUUAAUUUGAUCGGCUCUUUUUUUGGUUGAUUAAUGGAGGUUUUAGCAUAGAGAACUCUUGAUACAAGUAUAUUUUUUGAAAAAUGAUGACGUUAGUUGGUGAAGAGGUCAAAAUUAUUCUUUUGUUCAUCCUAUAUUUUAUAUUUUUCCACAUAUGUUUUGUGUGGUCCGACUCAGCAUUGAUUAUAACGUUACUUGGGAUAAAGACAAUUUUUUUUGAGAUGCGAGUCAUCAAAUAGAAGAAACAAAGAGAUCAGUAUACAAACAAGAGUGGAAGAAAGCGAUGAAUGUCAUAGGUUGCACUCCUGAGUAUCUCAAUUUACUUCUGAGGAAUGCCGGCGAAAGAGAUUUAAGGAAUAUCUCUAUCAAACUAUUGCAAAUCUUAAAAGUCACUAGACCGAAGCUCUACGAGGAAGCAGCGAAAAAGGUUACACUAUCAUUCCAAGACCCCGCUUGUCAGAUUACACUCCGAUCCCGCUUGUCAGAUUACACUCCUUAUGUUGUUGCUAGGGUGAACCAUUGUGACAUUGUUCUAAGUUACACAACGCUUAUAGAUUAUGAGCAUCAACAAGUCGUCUGACGUAAGUGCUAAGGCUCUCUUUUGAAACUAAAAAAGGCAAGUGCUAAGGGGCUCUUUUAAAACUGAAAAAGGAGGAACGGAUUAAUUAGUAGUUAUUCCAGUUAUAAACUUUUAUAUCCAUUGAAGUCUUUUACAUUAAAUUCCAACCAUAUUUUUGGAAGAACAUGAAGUUGAGAGAAAGGUUCAUAGGCAAUUCAAUGGAUUCUUUGACAAAAGACCUGGUGAGAACGCAGAAGUUGAGACUAAUGACGAACGGGUAAAAAUCUCGAAACGGACUGCCAAGAGUUUUUAUCUCUAAAGUAGAUUUUCUCGACACGAAUUCAAAUUAAUCAGAUCCCAAAGUCGUUACAAAUCAAAAACCAAAAAAUUAUAAUAAUGUUAAUUACUAUAGUAUAGCUUAUCAUAUUCCUUUUGCUUUGAAUUCUCUGGAGCAAUAUUUGAUAUUACAUCCUACAUGAUCACAUUUUUAAUUGGUAAUAUCACUAAUUGAACGACACAAUGCCUCACCUCUCUUACAGAUUAGUUUUACUAUCUGAUGGUGCGAUCUUUUCUUGUCGUGAACCGCACCCUCCAAGUAUGAUUUCUACGGCAGUAUCGAUACAAAUUUUGGAAGCGAAGAAGAAGACCAGUCUGAGCUGCUCACUUUUGAAAAAAAAAAGUAUCCGAGCCCCUUUAAGACGCGAUUUUGCAGAACCUUUUGAAAGAAGCAAGGGUAAAUAUUGUAUCUACAACUUAAUAAGAUUUAAAGAUAAAAGUAGUUGUUGCAUUAGCAGUUUCACAAGUACUUUCAACUUUAUUUUGAGAAAGAUGUAGUACUUUCACCCUUUUUAUUUAAUAUAAAAUAGAAAUCUUGAUCUUCUUU